rfam:Beta vulgaris subsp. vulgaris Bvchr7.sca017.con0034.1, whole genome shotgun sequence.
GUCUGUUCGGAGACAUUUGAUAAAAUUGGAACGAUAUGGAGAAAAUUAGCAUAAUCCAUGCGCAAAGAUGACACGCACAAGAAAAAUUAAUUACAUUAGU